rnacentral:rRNA from 1 species
CUACGGGCGGCUCCAGUGAGGAAUAUUGCACAAUGGGGGGAACCCUGAUGCAGCAACGCCGCGUGGAGGAUGACGCAUUUCGGUGUGUAAACUCCUUUUAUAUGUCAAGAAAAUGACGGUAGCAUAUGAAUAAGCACCGGCUAACUCCGUGCCAGCAGCCGCGGUAAUACGGAGGGUGCAAGCGUUACUCGGAAUCACUGGGCGUAAAGGACGCGUAGGCGGGUUGGAAAGUCAGGUGUGUGAAUCCUACAGCUUAACUGUAGAACUGCACUUGAAACUUCUAAUCUAGAGUAUGGGAGGGGGAGAGGAAAUUAGUGGUGUAGGGGUAAAAUCCGUAGAUAUCACUAGGAAUACCUAAGGAGAAGGCGACCUCCUGGAACAUUACUGACGCUAAGGCUUGAAAGCGUGGGCAGCAAACAGGAUUAGAUACCCUCGUAGUC